GUAAUCGGAAUGAGUACACUCUAAACCCUUUAACGAGGAUCAAUUGGAGGGCAAGUCUGGUGCCAGCAGCCGCGGUAAUUCCAGCUCCAAUAGCGUAUAUUAAAGUUGUUGCGGUUAAAAAGCUCGUAGUCGAAUCUGUGUCCCGCGCCGCCGGUUCAUCGCUCGCGGUGUUCAACUGGCGAGCCGCGGGACGUCCUGCCGGUGGGCUUAGCCCGCGUCCGCGUGGGCGGCCCAACUUUAAAUCCCUCCGCGGUGCUCUUGACUGAGUGUCGAGGUGGGCCGGCACGUUUACUUUGAACAAAUUAGAGUGCUUAAAGCAGGCUAAAAUUUCGCCUGAAUAUUGUGUGCAUGGAAUAAUGGAAUAGGACCUCGGUUCUAUUUUGUUGGUUUUCGGAACCCCGAGGUAAUGAUUAAUAGGAACGGAUGGGGGCAUUCGUAUUGCGACGUUAGAGGUGAAAUUCUUGGAUCGUCGCAAGACGGACAGAAGCGAAAGCAUUUGCCAAAAACGCUUUCAUUGAUCAAGAACGAAAGUUAGAGGUUCGAAGGCGAUCAGAUACCGCCCUAGUUCUAACCAUAAACGAUGCCAGCUAGCGAUCCGCCGACGUUCCUCCGAUGACUCGGCGGGCAGCUUCCGGGAAACCAAAGCUUUUGGGUUCCGGGGGAAGUAUGGUUGCAAAGCUGAAACUUAAAGGAAUUGACGGAAGGGCACCACCAGGAGUGGAGCCUGCGGCUUAAUUUGACUCAACACGGGAAACCUCACCAGGCCCGGACACCGGAAGGAUUGACAGAUUGAGAGCUCUUUCUUGAUUCGGUGGGUGGUGGUGCAUGGCCGUUCUUAGUUGGUGGAGCGAUUUGUCUGGUUAAUUCCGAUAACGAACGAGACUCUAGCCUGCUAACUAGGCGUAUUUUCGACAUCUCAAAGGCCCGCCGGCCCGGCGUUCGCGUCGCGGUCGUGCGCGGUUUUUACUGUCGGCGUACAAUCAAUUCUUCUUAGAGGGACAGGCGGCUUCUAGCCGCACGAGAUUGAGCAAUAACAGGUCUGUGAUGCCCUUAGAUGUUCUGGGCCGCACGCGCGCUACACUGAAGGAAUCAGCGUGUCUUCCCUGGCCGAGAGGCCCGGGUAACCCGCUGAACCUCCUUCGUGCUAGGGAUUGGGGCUUGCAAUUGUUCCCCAUGAACGAGGAAUUCCCAGUAAGCGCGAGUCAUAAGCUCGCGUUGAUUACGUCCCUGCCCUUUGUACACACCGCCCGUCGCUACUACCGAUUGAAUGAUUUAGUGAGGUCUUCGGAUCGGUACGCGGUGGCGCUUACGCGUCGCCGAUGUUGCUGAAAAGAUGACCAA
rnacentral:rRNA from 1 species